GAUCGUCAUUUGUUUUCCAGGAGGGUCUUAACACCGUGACAAGAACGUUUUACCGCCAGUCUUUUUCCUUCCCCCCUUUUUUUUCUAAACUACCGCUCACGCAAAGACGAACGACUUUGAACGGCUAUUGAAAUGAGAGGAACAACCGAUCUAUAAAAGAGAAAGGAAUGUAGAAUUUUUCCUUUUUCUUAUCUUCUUUUUUCUUCCGGCAUACGAUAUCGUUUGCUGUAAAGGGCAAAAAAAAAAUUGAAUCUAUCUAUUGUUCUCACGAAAAAGAGCGACCGACGCCUGCGACAAUGACCUGUCAUGGCCGCCAUUAUUUCGGCGCUGGGGCUAUCUAAUAUGGUAGUUACUUACAUUGCAGAGAGCGAGAUAGGAGAGGGGAAAAAAACAUCCAUUCUUCUAAUAAUAGUAAUAAAAUGAUAUCCCAGCACAGCCAGAUCGUAAAUUCUUUUUGCCUGUCUUGUCGUUAUAGAUCCCUAUAUAUCUAGUGGAGUUACACAUAUACCUAUAUCCUCUUGGUAGAUUUGAUAUCGUGAGUCUUUUGCAUAGGAGGGGCUCUAAAAAAACGAUGAAUAUCAAUAAUUCAGUUGUUCUUUUUCUUAUAUAAUAAUUUUUAAAAAUUUUAUAGCUAGCAAGUAUAUUGUAAAAUGAGAUGUGGAGAAUAUGAGGUGGUGAAAGUUGUAUCGAUUUAACAUCGAGCCGAGUAGACAAAUUGAAUUUUUCUCCAACUGCAUUAAAAUGAAAAUUGUCAAAUUUGAUUGUCCAGUCGAGCUUUAGUAGCGUUUCCUGUUAGCCCCGCGUUGUGUAGAAAGGAUGGACGAAGAUGACGGUUUGCAAACCGGAAUGAUUUCACGAUUCAAUGGCGGAUGGGGGAAAAAAUCGAUUCUGUUGAAUAAAUGAUCCACUGGAGAAAAAAAAAACUUAUAUUUUUUUUUUUGCAAAAUAAAAACCUGAAUUUCAUCUGUUUUCUUUUUUCCCGGAGUAGAAACUACAAUGACAAUAGAGGAGCAAAAGAGUUCUCGAGGAAGUGCGGGUAAAGUUGAUGUCUCGUACAGCAUAUUCCAAGAGCUGUCGUCCAAUCGAAUGCCAUAUUUCAUUCGCAUCGCCUUCGAUUUUCUCCUUACUUUGCCCAAGUUUGUACCAAAGUCAAACAGACCCCACCGCCACCAUUUUUUAUUCCUCCCAUGUUUAUGUAGCGAACGAAAAUGCCACAAUCAUGCACCAGAGAAACAUUCAGUAUGUUUUGUUUGUUUUGUUUUUUUAACUUUUUUCUCUCGUUUUAUUUCUUCACCUGAGGCCAUCGUCGCGCAUUUGCUGAUUUCUUCCAGCUGCUACCGCAGUUUCGAAGCGUGUCAUUAUUUCUACGACAGUUGCGAAGCGAUUCACGAGCCGCCAAAAACAGCCAAAAAGAAAAAAAAAAUUAUAAUAAAUAAAUCCAUAAAGCUAUUUUCUAUGUAGAAAAAGGAAGGGCUCACUUAAUCAUACGUAUAUGCAUUAAGUCGACAUAGAAUAUAAAUAUACUGAUGUAUAUAGGCCCCAUCGGAGUUGCUCGCUCAUCCGCGCAAGACGACACGCGUGGAAGGCGACGGGAUGCGAAGUGGAAAGAAAAGCUGUUGGUUUUUCUCGGUCCCUCUUCAAAAAUCAUGAAAAUAUGUACCUACUUUUUUCUUUAAAAAAAAAAAAUCGGAUGUUCAGACCGCGAAAAGCUUAUUGCUGGUGUACUCAAGUCGUUUUAUUUAUUUAUCCUUUGUUGUUUUCAUAUCCCUUCGACUGGCAUCCAAUUUUUAUGCGGUACGUCUCUACCCUUGAAUGCGGAAUACGUAGCGCGUUUACUUUACGGCCUCUCUCGGCGUUGAUGUUUCUAAAACGCCAACAAACCUUUCCCAAUGCCGGGUCGUGGAGAUAUCACCGACAACGUGUAGCGCUAGUGCGGAAGAAUAUCCAUUAUUGGUUCACAGUUAGGCCGGCCGUUGCCAGUGUUUCUCUUGGAUUGUUCAGAUCUUUUUUAUUUCGGAAAAUUCUGGCCACCAGAUGUCUUUGUUCCAGGUGACGGUAAGAAAUAGUCUUGCUGCAUGGGGUAUGGUAACCUAAAUAGAAAAAAGGUUCUACAAAUCUCUAAAAGUGCAGGUAGGGUACGAUAAAGGAAAUAGCUUGCCAUACCUCUAAUUUAUCUACGUUGCCGCACUCACUCCUUUUUUAUUCGACGUUCAGUUUCGCUAGUCACACAGUCACAACAACAUUCUUCACUCGUCUUUCAUCGACGUGAACGAAACCAGUCUUAUUCCAUGAAUGUCAUUUCAACUGUUCAUCUGAGAGUGACACGUGUGUAACGAAAUCUGCCCACGCCUUGCAGUCGAAAAAAAUGUGUGAAAGGAAUAAGUGAAGGAAGAACUGGCUGGAGAAAAGGUCGCAAUAAAAAGACGAGACUUGAUGGGAGGUGGGGACCAGUUUUCAUAUGCUAUUUGGAAAAACAGAAAAUGUUCAUCGUUAGAAAAAAGCGAUUACCGAUGUUCAAAACAGACAGUGAAGAUAACCAAAAUGGAAGUGAAAGGCCAAAGAGUUCACGUUUCAGUAAUUGAGUACAAUUUGAAUUGCGGGACCCGGCGGCACAUGAAAAGCAGGAACCAAAAUAAAACAACGAAUAUACGUAUACACCAUUUGAAAUGUGGCUGAAAGGGAAAAGAGAACAAGCAGAAAAAUAAAUAUUUUCAACUGGCAAGUGCACUAUACUAGGAUGCACUUUCUGUUCCUCGUUGCCCUUAAGGUUGUAUGUGGCGCAGAUAGAUCAACAAUCGUCCUCUUCUUUCGUAUUUCUGCCAUCUCGAGUCUGUGUUGUUACGUAGCCUCUAGGCAGCUGCUUGUCAUUAUAUAAGAUGUCAAUAAUAUCUAUCUGUAUCUAUAUCAGUUUGUUUUUCCAACAUCCUGUUCUCUUCUUGUGGUACUAGUUUUCUUCUUUCCUGUUUUUUUCUUCUUGCAUCAACACAGCGACAGAGAGCGUAAAAGGAUUUGGUCGCCUACGAUCCCCGUUUGCUCUAUUUGGUCUUCCUCAUAGACCAUUCAAAAUGUAUAGUGGUUUAUCUUGUUUGCAUCGUUUUUUUCUUCUGUGUCUCUCAGACUGAAAAAAAAUAAAUAAAAAUGGAACGCACA